rnacentral:misc_RNA from 1 species
AUCACAGAAGUGAAACCGAACAAGGUACUGAAAUCCGGGAUCAACAAUGAACUCCCAGGUCAAAUUCACAUUCACAUUCCCAGAAUCUAUUGAUUUCAAAAUGGUCGCUGUACCAUAAACGACCGAAGGAGCAGUAUCUGGUGUUGCCCCACCUAAAACGUACUUGACAGCGCUGAUAUCGGAUAUGUUUGCGGCAACAUUCAGGUUGACGAGAAAACCUUGGUCAGAAACCCAAGUUCGUCCAAGGUUAUCAUUCUCAGGGAAAAUUGUCGGUCCACCCAUGUUCACCCGAAAAAGAGUCUCUAGAGCUUGUGAAAACAUGCCUUGGAAAUUCCCAGGAGGAUUAAUAGUGCUGGCAUCAUCUGUGAUGAGUGCAUCUGGGACGGAAACAACUUCCAGAGCAUUCAAGAAUGCAAAGGAAUUUUUGGAUGGGAUUCUAAAAGUAAUUUGAAGGGUGUUGGAGGUUACGUUAAUAGAAAAUUCUUUAACAACAUAAGAGUCUACACCGAAAUUGCUGAGAAUGGCAUGACCUUGGGUGAGAACAUCAAAAUUUGCGCUACUCAUAUUGUAAACAUCAUGAACAAACGGAUAGAAAUAAAGGCGAAUCCAGUGUCUGCCAGGUUGUUGAAUUGGAAAUGUGUAUAUGGAGGUUCCAUCAAGGAUUCUUGCUGUUUGAUAGAGGAAUGAGUCGUCGGAGGAAGUGACAGAUACUGAAGUUUUGGCAAAAAUGAUUUUUGGGGUUGAGAGGGAGUACGCGGCGGAGUUGUCAGCCAAGAAAACACGGUUGCCCACUCUAGUAUCCUUGCUCGACCCGCAGUUUAUUAGAUAAUUGUCAACAGGUUCAAAUCCACAGCAUAAACAUGCCGAGCCCAAGAUUGUUACAGCACGAAUGAAAAAUUUUAAUCCUCUAUCAGUCAUCAUUACAAAAUCUGGGAAAUUUAUAAGGGAACAGAGAACUACUACUGUCCCAGCAAAGAGAACAAAAUGAUAUGUGACGGUGGGUUGGUAAGGGACUUUUGUGGCCGUUGGCUUAGGGCUUUGCUGCGUCGUUUGGGAAGACUUCUGUCCUAGCGGCUGAGCUCUGGUCCAUCUAUGAAGGCCUCAAACUAGUCCGUAG